rnacentral:rRNA from 1 species
AUUGAACGCUGGCGGAAUGCUUUACACAUGCAAGUCGAACGGCAGCACGGAGAGCUUGCUCUCUGGUGGCGAGUGGCGAACGGGUGAGUAAUAUAUCGGAACGUGUCCAAUAAUGGGGGAUAACGAGUCGAAAGAUUCGCUAAUACCGCAUACGCCCUACGGGGGAAAGCAGGGGAUCGUAAGACCUUGCGUUAAUGGAGCGGCCGAUAUCUGAUUAGCUUGUUGGUGAGGUAAAGGCUCACCAAGGCGA